rnacentral:lncRNA from 13 species
AAAUACAUAAAUUUAAGAGUAAAAAGUACUUAAUUAUUUUAUACUAUAUCCACUAUCAAUAAUGAGCAAACCUUAGAUAUUUUCCUGACAAUUUUUAGAAAAUACCACAUUAAAAUAAUUAUUUCUUAGUAAUCAAUGCUUUUGCAUCUUAAAAUCAGAUUUUUAUUCAAUGCUUGCAGUUUCUUCCGCGUUUUAUUGGAAGUUUGGCACACUCUAAGCUUUUUAUCUCAACAUAUUUAUCAAAACUUCUAGUGUAUGUCAUAGGCAAAUAGUUAUUUUAGGAAAAUAGUAUCCGAUUAGGCAAAUGCUAUCUGCCUGGUCAAAUAGCUUAGAAUUAACACAAAAAUUAUAUACUUUUUAGGUUUUUAAAACAGGCAUUUUGCGUUUUUAAUUCUAAGCUACUUGACCAGGCAGAUAACAUUUGCUUGGUCAGAUACUAUUUUCCUAAAAUAACUACUUGCCUACGACAUAUACACAUGAUGUCAAACAAUAAUUGUUUAUUAUAUUUUUCAUUUAUACAGCAAUAAUUGACUUCUUUUCUUUUUCUCUCUUGUUAAAUAUUCAGAAAUAUUUGCAUAAUAAAUAUUUUACAGAUCCAUGCCGAUCCAUUGCCAAUCUAAGAUGAGCGUUAAUUUAAUUCUCAUGCACUCACAGAUACGACGCAUAGCAGCGAAGUUGUAAUGCCACGUUGACCUGCAACACACAAAUACAAAAUCUAAUCUAGUACUAGAUAAACGACACAAUUAACAUUAAAAAACUAUGACGCUACUCACCACAGAGUUGUUCCGCCGUUGCCCGAUGCCAUCCGGGCCUCCGCCUCCUCUCAGAUCCUGACGAUGCACAACCAUCACACACUCACGAGAACGAGAAAUUAAUUACGAUCGCACGUUAAUCAACAAAGCAACGCGCGACACUUUGUUGAUGAAAGCGGUCCCGGCAAAGCGUCAUCGACGUUACGAAUGCGUAGAUCGACAUUCCGUUCGGAAAAUACUCGUAUUUCAUGUAUGUCACAUCACGAAAACUCGAAACUAGCCACGUGUCUAAAGAGAAUCCGUUCGACAUCGACGGUAGCACGCGAGUUAAUACGCGAUGUGUUGGCUGGACGAAGCUUGUGAUGAUUCGCGCAGGGUUACCUUAAUCUUUACGUCCUCCCGCAAGAACAAUGCGCGCGAUUUCAAAGCGAUUUCGCUGUCUCGUCCGAACGUUUACCUCACUGCAGGUAACUCACGAAAACUCGGACGUACGCAAAGAAAACUCCGUUCAUGACAUCGAUGACAACACACGAAGGGGUACGCCGUCAAAGACUUAAGGAACUACGCCAUAGACAUACAAGUCUAUAAUACAUGCUAUGGGGUACGCGUACGAACGGCACGAACGUUGCUGAGUGUCGCCACGAACGAGACUCGCAGAGACUCGCGGGGAGCCGGCGAGACUGGCGAGAGUGGCUCGUCGCCGCUAACUUCACGUUAUGCCGUCACCCCGCGAGAGAGAGAGAGAGAUACCUAACUCGCGCGUCUCCGGGCGAUGGCUAUUUCGUAAGGCUAUUUACGGCACACGAAAACGCGAAAAUGCACAUACCUGUACGUACAAGGAGAAAUGUUUGUUGCGCGAAAUGUUUGUUGCGCGUUGUUUUCGCGGGACACCGCGGCGUGAAGGUUAAGGUCAAUUUAGCCCGCGCGAAUCACUCGCGCUUCGUCCAGCGAACGCAUCGCACACUACACUAGUUCGCGUGCUAUUAUCAAUGUCGAACGGAUUCUCCGAGGAUUCUCUUUGCACGCGCGACUAGUUCCGAGUUUUCGUGUGCGACAUACGAAUAUUCCGAUGGAAUUACUUUCUCUACGUGAUGAUGUCGCUUCGCCAAGAGUUUCGUCAACCAAGUGUCGCGCGUUGUUCUGAUAAUAAUUAGCGCGCGAUCGUAAUUAAUUUCUCGUUCUCGCGAGUGUUGUGUUAGCUGUGCAUUAAAGGGAUCUGAAAAAAGGUAGAGGCACCGGUGGAACACCCUGUAGUCAACGUAGCAUUAUGACUCUGCUGCUGCACGUCAUGUCAGUGAGUGAGAAAUUAAUGCUCUUAUCUUAGAUCGGAAUAAUGGAUUUGUGUAAGAUAUUUAUGCAAAUGUAUAUUUUACAUGAAUAUCUUAUACGUAUUAAAUUAAAAACGUUACAAAUAUAAUAUACAAUUUCGUGGAUUAUAUCUCAAAAUGAAUGGAUUAGAAUACAACAUAUACUAAAAAGUUAUUAAGUUGACUAAAUUUUUCAACUCGAUUUUUUUCAGUUCCUUUUAUGUAUUAGAUAUAAAUAUGUUGAAAAUUUGAACUUUAGUUUAACCAUUUACACAUUUAACUACCUUUUAUUUAAUUUAAAUACAUAUAAAUACUUCAAUUGAAGAAGUUCAAUUAAACUGAUGAAAAAUUUAGUCAAGUUAACAAUUUUUUUCUCAGUGUAAAUACCCUUUAAAUGAUACGGUCUUCUUCUAUUACAUAUAAAGUCAUCGCCAGUUAUUAAUAAUCUCCAUUGAUUUGAAAUAAAUGCAAAUAUAAAUUAAAUUUUUUGUAAUAAUUUUAUUGGUCUCACUUUAAUGUUAAAAGUUAAAAGUAAUAUUUUGUCUAAAAAAAAAUAAAGAUAAUUAACAGCUGAAAAAUCUAGUAAUGCUAAUCUUGGAGAAAAAUCGAAAUUAUGCAUUAUACUGGCGAGAUCAACUAGUGCGACCUCGUAUGUUAUAUGAAGAUUGAGUAAGAAAUGCAUUUUUGUGAAUAGAUUAUAUGUGUAGGAUUUAAUUAAUACAUCACACAGUACUUUAUUAUGUUGUGCAUUUAUUUCAUUUCAUACGUUUGUUACGUACAAAUCAUUGCACUCUAUACCUCUGUUUUAACAAUUGCGACCAGCUUCUAAGUUCUGUAAUAUAUAUUUUUGAUUUAUUUUCAUUAUUUCUUGAAGCACUUAAUUCUAGAGUAUUUGUUUAUUCGUUUACAUAAUAAAUAUUUUUUUGUUGGGAAGAGACUAGCUUAAUGUUAAGAUAGCCGUACCCAUUUUUUUAAAUUUUCUGUCAAAAUUUUCUGUUUGAACGCCUGGUUUUAAACUUUAAAUUAACAUUAAUUAGGAUUUAUCUUUAAAAUAUUUUAAAAUUAAUUUUGCGUUGAUGGAGGGAAGGGAAAGCUAGCUUAAUAGAAGUCAAAAUUUCCAUAUAACUAAUCUUCUUACAUAAAUGACAGAAGACAUACUAAAUGUCCGUAUAAAUGUAAAACUAUAUAAUAACAUUGUAAUAAAAAUCAUAACGUAUUAAAAUAAUGCUAAUAAUAAUGAUAAUAUAAAUGGAACAACACUCAAUAAAUUUGAAAGAAUUUACCUGCUAAUUCGUCAAUUUUUACAAGAUUGAAGUAAUUGUUUUAUAGUACGUCUACUAUUUCAACAAUUAACAGUUUGAUAGUUUCUUGAGAAUUUUUAAAGAAUAUCACAUUAAAAUAAUUACCUCUUAGAAAACAAUGUUUUUCCUAAAUCAGUGUUUUCGUGCAAUGCUUGCAGUUUGCAUUUUAUUCGGAGGACUGACGUAAUCCACGCUUUUUAACUCGACGUAUUUGCUUAUCGAAAUCGGAUAAAUUAAAAUCGUCAGCUGUCAAGGCUGUGACAGAAGUAAUUAUGUUGACACACAAUCCGAUAUAUAAGUUCAAGUAGUGUAUCUUUCUAUGGAAGUGUCUUACUUUUAGCGUUGACGCACAAUACAUACAUUAUCACGCAGCAACACGUAGGUUUAUACACAGCAUCUCGCAUAUAUCACAUUUAAAUAUAAACAUUAAAUACAA